AACGCAUAUUGCGCCCUUUGGUAUUCCGAAGGGCAUACCUGUUCGAGCGUCAUUUCACCCCUCAAAGAUAACUCUUUGGUGUUGGGCAAUGCCUAAAGGCAUGCCUUAAAAUCAGCGAUGGUGAUAUUCAACCGAGGCGCAUAAACGUUGUCUUGCUGGGGGAAUGUCGUCAGUCAAUUGAUGAAUUUUCCAAAGGUUGACCUCGGAUCAGGUAGGAAUACCCGCUGAACUUAA
rnacentral:misc_RNA from 1 species